AUGUUGGUAAAGCAUUUACCUAAGUUACGGAAAAUUCAUAAUUCAUCAGUUAUUUUAGAUAAUACUAAACAAGAUAGAGUAAGAUACAGAAGUGUAAAAGAAAGUGGAUUCAUCAGAUGA
rnacentral:rRNA from 1 species